UACCCGCAGCACAAGUGGUGGUCAUUAUUAUUGGGCCUAAAGCGUCCGUAGCUGGCUUGUUAGAUGCCUGGGUAAAUCGAUGCGCUCAACGUAUCGAACUCCGGGUAGACCGGCAAGCUUGGGACCGGGAGAGGCGUGAGCUACUCGAGGGGUAGGGGUAAAAUCCUGUAAUCCUUCGGGGAGGACCAGUGGCGAAGGCGUCACGCUAGAACGGCUCCGACAGUGAGGGACGAAGCCCUGGGGCGCAAACCGGAGUUAGA
rnacentral:rRNA from 1 species